rfam:Felis catus isolate Cinnamon breed Abyssinian chromosome D2, whole genome shotgun sequence.
GCCUGGGUGGCUCAGUCGGUUAAGCAUCUGACUUCAGCUCAGGUCAUGAUCUCACGUCCGUGAGUUCGAGCCCCGCGUCAGGCU